GGGAUUCCUGAAUUUGCAGAGCAUUGCUCUCUGCACAGGAUUCCUGAAUUUGCAGAGCAUUGGUCUCUGCACGGGAGUCCUGAAUUUCCUUUGAAGUUUCAUUGAGGCUUUGUCACUCAUCUGGGAUAUCCUCCCUUCAAAAUGGCUUCUGGAUUCCCAAAACAGACACCGACACCUCGUCCUUGGUCCAGGGAAAUGCUGAAGUCUUUUACUCUGCGUCCCUCUAAGUCCCUGUGGGAAAAGUUUUUCAGCAUGAAGAAGAAGAUCGAAGCCAGGAGGAGUAUUCUGCCCAGCAUUAACCCAGUUCUAGACAAGAGUGAGCCUCAUCAGAAGCUGUCGUCAGUUCCCCU